rnacentral:tRNA from 1 species
GAGAUUGUGGCUCAGCGGUAGAGCGCUCACCUAGCAAGUGCAGGGCCCUGAGUUGGAUCCUCAGCACCACA